rnacentral:rRNA from 1 species
AGCAGUCGCCGCGGGAAUACGAAGGGGGCUAGCGUUGCUCGGAAUCACUGGGCGUAAAGGGUGCGUAGGCGGGUCUUUAAGUCAGGGGUGAAAUCCUGGAGCUCAACUCCAGAACUGCCUUUGAUACUGAAGAUCUUGAGUUCGGGAGAGGUGAGUGGAACUGCGAGUGUAGAGGUGAAAUUCGUAGAUAUUCGCAAGAACACCAGUGGCGAAGGCGGCUCACUGGCCCGAUACUGACGCUGAGGCACGAAAGCGUGGGGAGCAAACAGGAUUAGAUACCCGCGUAGUCCCUGUCUCUUAUAC